rnacentral:lncRNA from 1 species
AUUAAAAAAGCACAAAAUUUUAAGGCCAUCAUUGUGCUUUUGCAAUGACUUCUCCUCAUGGUAAGUUAUAUUUCUGCCUAUUUUAAGCUGUGCUGAAAUGUUUUCUGUAUUUUCCCUUUUCCCUCUUUGUCUACGUGCCUUCAUUCUACUUUCAGUCUUCUAUCUCCAGUCUGGUCCCAUGCUGUGUUUGUGGGUCAUGAUGAGGGACAGCAGUACAUCUGACUUCAUAACCAUAGUUAAGUUUAUAAAAUAACAGGAUAAAACAAAAAGGAUUGAAAACGGUCUAGUGAAGAGGAGGCAAAAGUUCUUUAGUGUUAGCCUGGCCUGCCCAUCAGCAAACACUUGAUCUGCUCUUGCCUCACUUGUCCCUAUCCAAUUUGAGAGAUAGAAUUGUAGAACUUGUUGAGUUUCAAUUUCUUUAAAGCAACAUAGGUCAAUAAAUUGAAAGACUACAAACAAAAACCACCUGUAAGGUUCCUUUAAAAAAACUGUAGUACUUCAGAAUAUAUAUUAAAGAAAAAUUUUGUUUUAUCCUUUUCUCAUAAUAACCAUUUCUAACUACAUUUCACUCAUUUUUUUCUUACUGUGGUUUUUAAAAUACUGUAUUUUUAUGGGCCUAUGUGUUUAUCUAAGAAGAUAAAUAUUUCAAUAUAAAAAAUGUAAAUGGAGUCUUUGAAUCUGUUUUAAUCUCUUUCCUUAAAAGUUUGAACAUUCAGCAAGGAUUUUUUUGUUUUGUUAUACUUUGUUUCCAAAGGUAAUAGGAAACAUCUCAUAAAAUGCAUUUUAUGUUGUAAGCUUAAGGCUAGAUGUUAUUAUUUACAUGCUGUAUUAUGUUGGGAAAAGAGGUAGCUUAAAUUAAUGACAUUAAUAAUUCCUCUCGUAAAUCAUAUUGUAAAGAAAGUAAAAUAAAAAAUUGCAAUAAAAUCCAUUUCAAGUAUAACUGAUACACCUCAGGGUGUAUCUUUUAAUUAUCUUUCCUCAGCAAGGAAAUGAAUAUGGUAAUGUCAUAACUCCAGUAAUAUUUGCCUGGGUGCUUGACCAUUUCUUUACUAAAGAAAUUGUUGUAUCCCCGCAGCAGCCAGGAUCAUGGAGAUGGAGAACAUCCCUACCAGACCUACACAGACUGAUAACACAAAGGAUCAUGCUACUCUCUUCAUUAUGUCUGUUUUCCCUGGAUACUAAUAAAAAAAUACCAAUUACCACACAAAGAUGCCUCAUUCACCAUCUGAACGACCUAUUAGAUGAUAUCUAAGUGCUUUUUGAUAAGGUUGUGAGUAUUGAGACAGCCUCCAGAAGGUAACAGUACUUCUUAACUUAUAAGACUAUCAUUAACUACACGUAUGUGGCCUUCUUUGUCUAUAUAUAUAUAUAUAUCAGAAUAGUUACAAAAUGUAUCUGAUGUUGGAGAAGCUCUUUUUCUCCUCUAAACUGACCACAAACAAUAAACACUGGUCACUGAGUUACCUGUUCA